GUUAAAUGAUGUUAAAAUGACAGUUCUGCUUCUGAACUCGCUUUGUAGACAACUUACCAUUACCAAACUUCUGAUAA